rnacentral:lncRNA from 1 species
AGGGAGAGGGAGGAUUGAAAUGACGGAUGCUUCUGCUUCAUCAAGGCGCAGCAAGGGAGGCUUUCCACCUAUGUCCCUGUGACUCUUACGGUGGUCUAGAUUCUGCCUGUCAUCGGUGCAGAGUGAGGAGCUUCUCUGCAGAUUCCACCUGUCACGCAAGUUCUAGGAAUUUCGCGCAUCCCACCAAGCUCUCUUCCUUUGAAAUGAUGCCCUACCCCGGCUCCUUAUUAAAUGGGCACAGCAUUAAUUAUGAACAAUGCCCUAGCCAAACCAGGAAUUGUAUGGAAUUUCAUACUUAUGGACUACAGGGUGACAUUUCAAUACAUGUCUAAAAUGUAUAAUGAUCAGAUCAAGCCAGGGAGAAGAUAUGUGGCAGGCAUCUUUAACCUGUGAACCCCACCUGACUCCAGAUCGGUCACCUCACUCCCUUCAGCAGAGCCCAUGCCACGUGUCAACCUGUCUUCCAGGAGCAGCGAUGGCACCUCCUCUGUCUUAGUCUGCCCGGGCGUCUAUGAUGAAAUACUGCAGACUGGCCAGUUUAAAC